CCUGCUCCCCGCCGGCCCGGAGCCAGGCCUCUCCCGGCCAUGAGAAGAACAUCAGUAUAGUGAGGAAGACAAGGGAGUGGGAAGAAUGCAAGAGAGAAUGGAAGGUCAGUAUUCCCAUCAAGAAUACUAAACAUCGACAGGGGGCGGAGCAAGAUGGCGG